AACGAACGCUGGCGGCAGGCCUAACACAUGCAAGUCGAGCGCCCUUUCGGGGGAGCGGCGGACGGGUGAGUAACGCGUGGGAAUAUGCCCUUCUCUACGGAAUAUCCUCGGGAAACUGAGAGUAAUACCGUAUACGCCCUGUGGGGGAAAGAUUUAUCGGGGAAGGAUUAGCCCGCGUUGGAUUAGGUAGUUGGUGGGGUAAUGGCCUACCAAGCCGACGAUCCAUAGCUGGUUUGAGAGGAUGAUCAGCCACACUGGGACUGAGACACGGCCCAGACUCCUACGGGAGGCAGCAGUGGGGAAUCUUAGACAAUGGGGGCAACCCUGAUCUAGCCAUGCCGCGUGAGUGAUGAAGGCCUUAGGGUUGUAAAGCUCUUUCAGCUGGGAAGAUAAUGACGGUACCAGCAGAAGAAGCCCCGGCUAACUCCGUG
rnacentral:rRNA from 1 species